UACGGUCAAAUCACGCUGAAACACCGAUUCUCGUUCGAUCACCGAAGUUAAGCAUCGUAGAGCCAGGUCCUUUUUUAGAUGGGGGACCGCUUGGGAACACCUGGUACUGUAAGC
rnacentral:rRNA from 1 species